UACGUAGGGUGCAAGCGUUGUCCGGAAUUAUUGGGCGUAAAGGGCUCGUAGGCGGUUUGUCACGUCGGGAGUGAAAACUCGGGGCUUAACCCCGAGCCUGCUUCCGAUACGGGCAGACUAGAGGCAUGCAGGGGAGAACGGAAUUCCUGGUGUAGCGGUGAAAUGCGCAGAUAUCGGAAGGAACACCAGUGGCGAAAGCGGCUUCCUGGUCCAGCACCGACGUCAGGCACGAAAGCGUGGGGAGCAAACAGGG
rnacentral:rRNA from 1 species